GAGGAAUAUUGGUCAAUGGACGAAAGUCUGAACCAGCCAAGUAGCGUGCAGGAUGACGGCCCUCUGGGUUGUAAACUGCUUUUAGUUGGGAAUAAAAAAGAGGACGUGUCCUCUAUUGUAUGUACCUUCAGAAAAAGGACCGGCUAAUUCCGUGCCAGCAGCCGCGGUAAUACGGAAGGUCCAGGCGUUAUCCGGAUUUAUUGGGUUUAAAGGGAGCGUAGGCGGAUUAUUAAGUCAGUGGUGAAAGACGGUGGCUCAACCAUCGUUAGCCAUUGAAACUGGUAGUCUUGAGUGCAGACAGGGAUGCUGGAACUCGUGGUGUAGCGGUGAAAUGCUUAGAUAUCACGAUGAACUCCGAUCGCGAAGGCAGGUGUCCGGGCUGCAACUGACGCUGAGGCUCGAAAGUGUGGGUAUCAAACAGGAUUAGAUACCCUGGUAGUCCACACAGUAACCGAUGUAUACUCGCGGUUUGCGAUAUAUUGUAAGCCGCCAAGCGAAAGCAUUAAGUAUACCACCUGGGGAGUACGCCGGCAACGGUG
rnacentral:rRNA from 1 species